GACGAACGCUGGCGGCGUGCCUAAUACAUGCAAGUAGGACGCAGUUGCGAACGGGUGAGUAACGCGUAGGUCAAUGCCUAUUAGAGGGGGAUAACUAUUGGAAACGAUAGCUAAUACCGCAUACUAGUAGAUGGACCUGCGUUGUAUUAGCUAGUAGGUAGGGUAAUGGCCUCCCUAGGGGACGAUACAUAGCCGAGCUGAGAGGGUGAACGGCCCAACUGGGACUUGGGAACGGCCCAGACCCCCACGGGAGGCCGCAGGAGGGAAUUUUCGGCAAUGGGGGGAAAGCUGACUGAGCAACGGCGCGGUAGAGAAGAAGGUCUUCGGAGCGUAAAACUCCGUUGUUAAGGAAGCGGUACUUAACCAGAAAGCGACGGCUAACUACGUGCCAGCCGCCGCGGUAAUUC
rnacentral:rRNA from 1 species